AUACUGUUAUGAAAAAUUGAGGAAAGAGGCCUUCGCAAGGACAGCUACGCGUUCUCUUCCUGGUUGAAAACAGCUGUUGUCACUACGACAACCAUAGACGCAUUCGGCUGAAGGUCGCCAGUUAACAUAGUGGCGAGUAAAUCCGAAACACCAGCAGCAUCUCAGGAUCAACAAGUGAAACUACGCGAAAGAACCUCCGGUCCAGGAUGGGUCUACCUAUUGUUUCCUCUGGUCCUGUUCUGCCUGCCUUGUGCAGUAAAGUAGAUAUUUACAUCAACUUGUCAGGCAAAGGAUCAACUUUCACUGGCAAAGACGUUAUCAGCAGGUCUGUUGCUGAAAGGAUUCUUUUGCAUAUUAAAGAUAAAGAUUGUGUGGCCAUGGAAGUCCGAUACCACAAGUCCUGUUACUGUCAGUUAACCAGGUUCUUGACCAAGUCCACUGCAACAGUUACUGGGACCACAGAAGAAGAAAUGUGAGAAAUGAGCCGGCCUUUGAUGUCAGCUACAAGAUCUUCUGUGAGCAGAUCAUCAGGCAAAUAAUCACUGUAAACCAAGAGGUGCUGAGGAUAAAUCAGCUAAGAAUGGCCACAAAUAUGAAUGAUGCAAGAUACAAAGCAUUCUGCAUGGCAUCUUCAGCUUUGCCAGAACUAUCCAUGCCUCCAACAUGUGACGCUCUACACCAACACUGCAAAAUGGCAAACUACCAAGCAGCAAUAAUGAGACAUUGGCUACGGUUACAUGAUGACUUCUCAUUCAGAAUGAAAUAAAUCUGAAUGAAAUCAUUCGAAAUUAAAGUUUUUCCAGGUAGUUUACAUGGGAAAUACUCAUUCCGAAUGAGGGUUUACAUGGGAGAUCAGUUUAAUUGCCUUUAUUAGGGUCUGUGCAAGGUUUGGGGCAGGAAAGGUUUCUGAUUGGAUAGGGGGCGGGGCAGAUGUUAUGUGUUUACAUUUACUGAAAAAAACACUGUAGUCCUCGCUCCGGAUAACAAGAUGCUUGACGACGCCAUUCUUAGUACCUUUUUCGGGCUUGUUUUGCUUAUAUUCUUGAAGCAGCAGUACAACAAGAACCUUGUUCUGCUAAUGCUUUGUCUGUUGACGAGGAGAAGAGAGGUAGAAGGUCGAAGAAGGGAGAUAGAAGACCGUGCUUUGGUGUAUGGAAACCGGUGAGUGCAACGAGUCCGACUGCUCUAUCUCAGCCCAUUGCUAUGCGCGCUAUAUACGUCAUCGCGCCAGUAGGGCAAGGAAACGAGCAUGAGCAGAAAGACCGGAAUGAACUUAAAGAGGAAUGAGCGUUUACAUGCACACAAAAUUCUUUCAUUCGGAAUGACAAACAGAAUAAACCACCCUUUUAAUAGGAUUUAAUUUUCAAUCGGAAUGACCAUUUUUCAAUCGGAAUGACUGUUUACAUGACCACUUUUAAUCGGAAUGGCCUUUCAUUCCGAAUGAAAGUGGAAUUAAACUGUCCAUGUAAACGUACUGAUUGUGCUGUCAUCCCAUCACGCUAUAAAUACAGAUUAAUUGUCUACAAAAUAAAAACCAGACGAAUUUCUUUACAAUCCAUAAUACAGAUCUUGUUAUCAGUCACUUCAUAUAGUGAGGAAUAUCAUAUCUUACCACGUCUUAGGCUUGCGUGUGUUUCUCCCUGUCUAUCCACAUUUGUAGUCCGGCUUUCAAGACGCAAAUAUCUCCAUAUUGUCCAGUUGACACUCCAUCAAACUUUGUAUGAUAAGACCAGCGCACUUCACCUUUGCGCACCCAGCGAAAUUGAGGCCUAAUUAUGCAUGCAUGACAGGGCAGUAGUCACCAUAUACAUAUACCCCCCCCUCCCCAAUAUAUAAUUGAAACUGAAAAACAACAACAAAAACGUUCAGGUCAGGUCAAAGAUAAGUGAUACUAUGUGAUAUGCAUUGUAUUAAGUUAUAGUAUGCCUGCAUUUAUUUCUUUAAUCAGAACACAAAAUGAACUUCCACUUAGCUAUAAUAAAAUGUUUUCUGAUUAAGACUGACAAUGACUCAGUGAAUACCUUACUCAGUUUUAUUUGAUUAAUGGUAAAACAAGUCUCUGUUCACAUUCAAAGGUAUUUGUGUGGGCAAACUGAUGAAAAUUAGUCUGUUGAUGACCACAGUGGAUUGUUCAGUCAUUGUAGAGCCAAAUUAAUUCAAAUUUACCCAUUGAACGGGUCACCUCAGCCAUCAUCACAACAACUGCCCCCCCUGAGAAAUUUGGCAGGAGCCACCACUGAGUGAGAAUUCUUUUUAGUUUGGCAUUGCCAUGUUCUUUUCUCUUGAUUUGAAUGGUAAGAGCUUAGGUUAGAAAAUUUGUCUUUUGUUUCGCAUUUCUUUUUUGCUAGGUAAGGUUAGGGUCAAUUGGUAUAUUUGUGUUAGCUGUUUUGGGCACUGUCCACCUCUGAGGACAAAUAAGCUGCUUUCUUUGUUGUUUAAAAUACUGUGUUACUGGCCUUUCUUGGGAGUGGGGAGAGUGAGGGAGUCGCAUCAUGUAAUGUCUAGGACUAGACCGGGGACAGAACAGAAUGCAGCGACUGUUUCACCUCAGACACUUGAGGAAAUUACCCUUAAAUACUGAGGAAUUUCUACUCCUACACCAUCGAGGGCAUCCCAAAAGGGAACAUAACUGCCUGGUACGGUAACAGUGCCGAACAGGACUGCAAGGUCUUUCAAAGUGUGAUUCAUUCAGCUAAACACACUAUAGGAACUAGUCUACCCUGCAUAAAGGAUGUUUACACCAGGUGCUGCAAAAUGAAUUAGGAAGAAGGCAAGCACUGAGAGGCUCAAAAAGAGCUUCUACCCUCAGGCUGCAAUGCUCCUAAAUGAUGACACAGCCUAAUCAUACACAUUUAUUCUUUAUAACAUUGUUUUUAAUGCACAAACUGAAAGUACCAAUGGGAUUACAUUUCACUGGAAUUGUGCCUUCUAUGAUUUAAUGUGACAAAGAAAUUGAGUUAUUGAUUGACUGACAAGACAAUCCAUAAAUGUGUACCAUGAUCAACAAAUAUGUCACUCCCCCAAACGUAUUUUUGUCAGUUGUGCUGUGUAAAGUCAUAUCCACAAAAUUACAGAGAGAUUUGCAAAUAUGUAUAAGGUUUUACAAAUGCUACCAGUUUCACCACAACAAAGACAUGUAAAGUCAUAUUUACGGUAUGUGUUUGUGGUUCCAUGUGCAAAUGUGAAAUAUCUGUGGAUCGCUUCCUGACAGUUUGUAGGUCAGCCAACAAUUGUGACUCCCCUUCUAUUUGUUUUGCAGAUUUUUGUCCAUUUCCUCCUGCAGCAGAUCUGUAUUUAAAAAGUUUACAGAUCUGAGAUGCAGUUAGUGCAGUUUCCAUGGGAAAACAUUUGUCAGGACUGUCAUCACACAGAAGUGGGCAUGGUUUCAUCUAAAGUACGUUGGUACAUUCAAGAAAAAACAAUAAGUGCAUUCAGGUCUGCCCUCGCGUGCGUGCGUGUGUAUCGCCACCUGCUGGCAAAGUUCCUACUGCACAUCUUAUCAUCUGUGGACUUUCCUGUACAGAUCUGCUGCGGUACAAAAUGGACACAACUUAUAAUCAAAUAGGAGUGAAGUCACAAAUGUCACAUGGCACACCAGCUGACAGGAAGCGAUUCACAAAUGUGCAAAACCUCUUUCACAUUUACAGUUUAAUCUACAACUGUGUAAAUAUGACUUCUUUUGUUGUGAUGAAUCACAUUUGUUAUGUCAUGUAUUUUGCAAAAUUAUGGUAUGCGUUCACCAUACCGUUAAUAUGACUUUACAGUACACAAAUUUCAUAAUAAUAAUAAUAAUACAUUGGCGUUAUAUAGCACUUUUCUGGAUACUCAUAGGGGCUUUACAAAGAAAACAACAAACAAAAAAAGACCCCACAAAUAAUAAUAAUAAGAACAGUAGUAGUAGUAGUAGUAAUAAUAAUAAUAAUGAUAAUACAUAAAGGAAAAAAAAAUGCUUGUGGAUAGUGAGAUAUCUGUGGAUCAUGGCACACUUUUGUGGAUUGUCUUCUGUGGGUUUUCAACCACUCAUGUCAGAUAAAAAUGUCCAUACUCAGUAUUACUUGUGUGAACAGAUCAACAAUCUGUGUGUUAAUGUGUAAUUUGUAAAUAUAAAACACCUUCCACAAAUAUAAAAAAAAAUAAACUCAAAAAAAAAAAUUUGAAAAAAACUUUAAUAUAAAACAGAUCUGCAAAUACACAGAGAAAGUCCAGACUAAAAGACAUUUGUGAAUAUAUUUAACUAAAUUACAAAUAAAUGAAAAGCAUGUUGCUGUUGAGCAGGUGAGAAAUGUUUUUAAAAGGUUAAAUCAGAGGAAGGCCACGGGACCAGAUAAUCUUAGCGCAUAAUCCUGAAAACUUUUGCAGAUGAGUUAGCACCUGUGUGGCAGCCUAUUUACAAGCGCUCAUUGAACACUGGUAGUAUUCCUCUCAUGUGGAGGACAUCACAUAUAAUACCUGUUGCUAAGGUGAAAUGUCUGCAGCAACCAAGUGAUUAUUGUCCCGUUGCCUUGACUCCUGUUGUAAUGAAGGCUUUGGAAAAAUUGUAGUUCAGGAGCUCAGUGACAAGCUGGGUGACAAGCUUGAUAGUCAACAAUUUGCAUACAAGCAUAAUCGCAGUACAGAGGAUGCUGUGGUCACCACAGCAUCCUCUGUGCGAUGCACCUUAUUCUGAAGCAUCUUGGCAUGCCUAAAACUACAGCUAGAGCUCUCUUUUUAGAUUUCACAUCGGCCUUUAAUACCAAAGCUCUAAUUGGUCAAGAUGGUUGAGAAGGAAGUAAAUGCCCAUCUAAUUCACUGGUACCACGCGUUCUUCAGAAAUAGGGUACAGAGAGUCAAAGUUAAUCAGACAUACUCCGCUCCUACAGUUACCAACAUUGGAGCGCCGCAGAGCUACCUGAGCUCUCCAUUUAUUUUCACACUGUACACUGACGAUUGUAGAACUGAUGGACAAAAUACAUUUAUUUUGAAGUUUUCUGAUGAUACUGUACUGUUGUCUUUGUUGGGGACUGAAGACGAUCCCAGUAUUCAUCAGGCUCAUACAGAUAGACUGGUGGAGUGGUGUGAGAAUAACUCACUUAUCAUCAAUGCAGAUAAGACAAAAUAAGUUAUUUUUGGUCUUCCAGAGAACUCAUAUCCUCCACCUCUCAUUAUCAAUAACACAAACAUUGAACAAGUUUUUUCCUACAAAUAUUUAGGCAUCUAUGUGGACGCUACUCUAUCAUGGAGUGCACACAUUGAUUAUAUUUGUAGUAAAAUACAACAACGUAUUUAUUUUCUUAGGAGACUAAGGUCUUUUGGUACAAGUAGACCUAUUCUGUUACUGUUCUUUCAAUCUAUUGUACUAAGUGUUAUGCAGUAUGGAGUUAGAGCAGAUAUUUAGCAGUCUCCCCAGUCGAGCUUUAAGUUGUACUGAGAGAGAACUACGUAUACCAUACACUAAGAUUGUAGGUCAAACACUUGAGCCAAUCUUUAAAGCCUCAGUGUGUAAAAAUGGUGAAUAACAGUGACAUCAGCGGUCAAAUUCUAGAUUGUAGCGCUCACUCGCACUCACUCACUCACUCACCCCUCCCGUCGGGUAAGUGACAGUGGCCUCGUAGGACAAAAAGCCUUGCGCAGACAGCAGAGUUUUUCGAGUUUUAUCCAGCGACGAGGUGAAUAUUUAUUUAGGAAUCUAAACCAUGUUACGAUAUGUUAUAGCUUAACAGUGAGAUACAGGUUAUAUGUGAGAUAAAUGUUAGGAGUGUUUUAUUUCUAAUUGUUUUGGUAACACGAGCAUUAGCACAAUAAUGCUAAAAUAACACGUUUUAUGUGAUAGUCACGGCACAGUGUGGCAAAUAUAGGUUGGUAUGAUUAUAAUAUAUGCGUUUCCAGAGUGUUCUUCCACAGGACACAGGGAGAUGAGGGAGAGGGAGAGGAGGAAGACCAGGGAGAGGAAGGGGGCGAGGGGGUAGAGGCGGUGCAGAAUGGCCAGGCGAAGAGGUGUGUCUCGGCUACCCAGAGGGAAGAGGAGGAGGAGAGGGCGGCAGCCUUCGCAGCAGCACGAGAGGAAUCAACAGAUUAGGCUGUAGGCUAGGCUAACCAUUUAGCUGUAGCUCUGAGAUAACGUUAGCCAAGGCUAGGAUAACGUUAGCACGUAAACGUAGCCGUCACUCGAACUUAGACGGGAGGGAAAAGUAGUUGCAAACAUGAAGCCAAAAUGAUUUUAAAAUAUCAGAUUUAAUUACCUGUCUAGCAGAAAGCAGGCAACCUCUGCAUCCCUUGUGAAAUCCUUUUCCUUCAGGAGUUCUUUCCACCUGGAAUAAACAACGCCUAUAUUCACUCGCGUUUUGUCCCAUCCUCACUUAUCUGAUCUUUUUCUUUUCUUUUAUUUGGUGGCGUGGUUUCCCUCUUACGGGGCAAAACAUAUGAUGUGGUCCUCCAUUUAAAGUGCGACAGAAUCAUAGAAGUACAAAGCAGGUUCACGCAGAAGCGCCCCGGAUUGAUCUUCACCUUAGCCGUCUCCAGUGAUGGCAAGUUCUAGGUAAACGUGAAAGGCGAACCACGUACAGUACAGGCCAAAAGUUUGGACACACCUUCUCAUUCAAUGCGUUUUCUUUAUUUUCAUGACUAUUUACAUUGUAGAUUCUCACUGAAGGCAUCAAAUCUAUGAAUGAACACAUGUGGAGUUAUGUACUUAACAAAAAAAAGGUGAAAUAACUGAAAACAUGUUUUAUAUUCUAGUUUCUUCAAAAUAGCCACCCUUUGCUCUGAUUACUGCUUUGCACACUCUUGGCAUUCUCUCCAUGAGCUUCAAGAGGUAGUCACCUGAAAUGGUUUUCCAACAGUCUUGAAGGAGUUCCCAGAGGUGUUUAGCACUUGUUGGCCCCUUUGCCUUCACUCUACGGUCCAGCUCACCCCAGACCAUCUCGAUUGGGUUCAGGUCCGGUGACUGUGGAGGCCAGGUCAUCUGCCGCAGCACUCCAUCACUCUCCUUCUUGGUCAAAUAGCCCUUGCACAGCCUGGAGGUGUGUUUGGGGUCAUUGUCCUGUUGAAAAAUAAAUGAUCGUCCAACUAAAUGCAAACCGGAUGGGAUGGCAUGUCGCUGCAGGAUGCUGUGGUAGCCAUGCUGGUUCAGUGUGCCUUCAAUUUUGAAUAAAUCCCCAACAGUGUCACCAGCAAAACACCAUCACACCUCCUCCACUUCACAGGUGUGCCUUAUCAGGGUUAAUUAGUGGAAUUUCUUGCUUUAUCAAUGGGGUUGGGACCAUCAGUUGUGUUGUGCAGAAGUCAGGUUAAUACACAGCCGACAGCCCUAUUGGACAACUGUUAAAAUUCAUAUUAUGACAAGAACCAAUCAGCUAACUAAAGAAAAACGAGUGGCCAUCAUUACUUUAAGAAAUGAAGGUCAGUCAGUCUGGAAAAUUGCAAAAACUUUAAAUGUGUCCCCAAGUGGAGUCGCAAAAACCAUCAAGCGCUACAACGAAACUGGCACACAUGAGGACCGACCCAGGAAAGGAAGACCAAGAGUCACCUCUGCUUCUGAGGAUAAGUUCAUCCGAGUCACCAGCCUCAGAAAUCGCAAGUUAACAGCAGCUCAGAUCAGAGACCAGAUGAAUGCCACACAGAGUUCUAGCAGCAGACCCAUCUCUAGAACAACUGUUAAGAGGAGACUGCGCAAAUCAGGCCUUCAUGGUCAAACAGCUGCUAGGAAACCACUGCUAAGGAGAGGCAACAAGCAGAAGAGAUUUGUUUGGGCCAAGAAACACAAGG